AACACAGUGACACUGAUCAAAAUGUUAGAAGUGCAAAGGGACAGCACGAGAUAACCAAGAGCAAUUCAAGCCUCCGAGGACAGGAGAAUGUGUCACUUUUGAUUUGUCGAAACGUAACUUUCAGCGAUUCCCAGCCAAGGGUGAUGAAAAGAUUACGUGAUGAGCACGCAUUGCACGGGAGAUCUUUAUUGAGUGAGGCUUUCCCCGUAGAAGACGCAACAGAAUCUAUGCAUGUGGCUUCAUCUCUAACCUGCAGCCUUAGGAAUGAGUCUCCAGCCUGUGCAGCUUAAGCAUUCCAUAUUUACCAAGAGAAAAGGUGACUAGGAAAUCUGGAAUCAUCUGUAUGGAAAUCCUGCCUAAGCAACUUCCAGAUGUUCUGUUUUUUCCCCCAGAGAAAGAUCCACCAAUCCAAGAAUGCUCUGGGGGACUGGGGACCCUGGGGACAUACUUACUGUCACUGCAGUUCUCCUCGUCACUCCCGUCCUGACAGUCUUCGUCUCCAUCGCACUGGAAGGUGCCAGGGAUGCACUGUCCACUCCUGCAUUCCACCAGGCCCUGGCUGUGACAAGCUGGGGGAGGCCGGAAGAUCAGUCGCCUUAUUUAUUGAUGCCUCUUACUGAUCAUACAAACAAGGCCCAUUUACCAGGAUUGGCACAGGCUGCCUCCUCUCUGGCACUUCUCCCGUGUUCUCCCACAAACGGCCCCUGAGAACAUGCUUGGAGGCUUGGCUGCUCAUAUAUAAUUUGCAGAGAAAAGGGGACUCCCUAGUCUCUGGGAAAAGAAUUGCCUUUGGAAAACUACCAGACACAUGAAGGAUACAGGAGCGGCAAGAGAAAAAGCAGACACUGCUGGGCCAGAUCAGCCAAUUUAAACUUGGACUUUGGAGCAGAGGGGUUUGAGGUCAGAGCUGUAUUGAUACUGUUCUCACACCUCUUGAAUGCUACUUUCAUAGACAGAAGACAGAAAUCAGAUCGAUAGAACCAAAGCUUAAGCAACCAUCCUCCCUGAGUGCUGUUUACAUAAUGGACUUUGGUUUCCAUACAAGUCUAAACAGGAACCAAAAGAAAAACAAGCAAAAUGAGACUUCCGGUGGCAGGGGCCGGGAGGGCACUCACAGCAGUUGACCUCGUCAGACUUGUCCACACAGUCGUGGUCCCCAUCACACACCCACUCAGCCGCAAUGCAGCGCCCAUCCCCACAGCGAUGCUCUUUUGUGGGAUUGCAAUCUAGAGAAAAGGAAAAAUCAUGAAGUCAGGAAGAACGGACAUAGGAAACACUUAGACGUGUGCCCACAGUUCCAGUUGAAGAGAAUCUACUUCCGUUGUUUCAGUUCAGUCACUGAUAUUCCUAGGAUGGCUCUGGCCAAUUUCGCAUGCUACCUUCCCACAGGCCACGCCUCAUGGUCCACACUCCUGUGGGCAAAGACCCAUUUAUUUCUCAGGACAGGUGUCCUAAUUGUUGGCAUGUCUCACUUCCUUUGUUUAGGGGGAAAAAAAACUACGACUUUUACAGUGAGUCAAGAGAACAGAAGUAAACUUCGAGCUUCGAGGGGUGCAGAUGGCUGAUUGAUGUGUCUGUAACAGACCUGCUGUGUUUCUAAGAAUUACAACAUCUCCCUGGCAAGCUGGAAAGAUGAGUGUCUUCUUAUGUCAUCCCUCCUGAUGCUAAGCCUGGGUUUUCUACUGGAUUA